UACGUAGGGACCAAGCGUUGUUCGGAUUUACUGGGCGUAAAGGGCGCGUAGGCGGCGUGUCAAGUCAAUUGUGAAAUCUCCGAGCUUAACUCGGAACGGUCAAUUGAUACUGAUGUGCUAGAGUGCAGAAGGGGCAAUCGGAAUUCUCGGUGUAGCGGUGAAAUGCGUAGAUAUCAAGAGGAACACCUGAGGUGAAGACGGGUUGCUGGGCUGACACUGACGCUGAGGCGCGAAAGCUAGGGUAGCAAACGGG
rnacentral:rRNA from 1 species